rnacentral:rRNA from 1 species
AUACGUAGGGGGCAAGCGUUAUCCGGAUUUACUGGGUGUAAAGGGAGCGUAGACGGAAGGCCAAGUCUGAUGUGAAAGCCCGCGGCUCAACUGCGGGACUGCAUUGGUAACUGGUCAUCUGGAGUGCAGGAGGGGUAAGCGGAAUUCCUAGUGUAGCGGUGAAAUGCGUAGAUAUUAGGAGGAACACCAGUGGCGAAGGCGGAUUGCUGGACAGCAACUGACGGUGAGGCGCGAAAGUGUGGGGAGCAAACAGGAUUAGAUACCCUGGUAGUCCACACUGUAAACGAUGAAUACUAGGUGUGCGGGGACUGACCCCCUGCGUGCCGGCGUUAACACAAUAAGUAUUCCACCUGGGGAGUACGAUCGCAAGGUUGAAACUCAAAUGAAUUGGCGGGG